AGCGAACGCUGGCGGCAGGCCUAACACAUGCAAGUCGAACGAAGUCUUCGGACUUAGUGGCGGACGGGUGAGUAACACGUGGGAACGUGCCUUUAGGUUCGGAAUAACUCAGGGAAACUUGUGCUAAUACCGAAUGUGCCCUUCGGGGGAUAGAUUUAUCGCCUUUAGAGCGGCCCGCGUCUGAUUAGCUAGUUGGUGAGGUAAAGGCUCACCAAGGCUACGAUCAGUAGCUGGUCUGAGAGGAUGACCAGCCACAUUGGUACUGAGACACGGCCCAAACUCCGACGGGAGGCAGCAGUGGGGAAGCUGGCGCAAUGGGCGAAAGCCUGACGCAGCCAUGCCGCGUGGACGAUGAAGGUCUUAGGAUUGUAAAAUCCUUUCACCGGUGAAGAUAAUGACUGUAGCCGGAGAAGAAGCCCCGGCUAACUUCGUGCCAGCAGCCGCCGUAACAC
rnacentral:rRNA from 1 species